UCCGGACCUGACUGCUAUCGGAUUGAUACUAAGCCAUGCGAGUCAUUGUAGCAAUACAAGGCAGACGGCUCAGUCUCGCGUAGUCAACCUACCCUAUGGACGGGAAUAACCUCGGGAAACUGAGUAUAAUGCCCGAUAGAACAUUAUACCUGGAAUGGUUUAUGUUCCAAAUGAUUUAUCGCCGUAGGAUGGGACUGCGGCCUAUCAGUUUGUUGGUGAGGUAAUGGCCCACCAAGACUAUUACAGGUACGGGCUCUGAGAGGAGUGGCCCGGAGAUGGGUACUGAGACACGGACCCAGGCCCUAUGGGGCGCAGCAGGCGAGAAAACUUUGCAAUGUGCGAAAGCACGACAAGGUUAAUCCGAGUGGUUUCUGCUAAAGGAACCUUUUGUCAGUCCUAGAAACACUGAUGAAUAAGGGGUGGGCAAGUUCUGGUGU
rnacentral:rRNA from 1 species